rnacentral:lncRNA from 1 species
UUAAUAAACAAUUUUUUUCACAAAAUCUCUAGAUUUUUUAACGCCAAGCACUAGUAGUCAACGAGACAGCAUAUUAUCCUCACGCUGAAUUUUCCUAGAAGUUGAAUUUUCCUAGAAAUUGCCCCUUGUGAGGAAAUUGAUUCCCUCAUUUAUCUAUAUAUUUUGCUUCAUUUAUUCACUACCUCACCAAAACCAACUUAUAUGCAACUCUAGACUCUCAUUUCUCUCUUUAAUUCCAAUAAUUCCUCGAUCUUUUUAAUACUUAAGUGACUGAUUCAGAAUUUAAAUACCGUAAAUUUUGAGUUGAUAGAGUGGGUUCUACGUCUUUAUCUAUACUUGUUUUUGCAUUGACAAAUUCAGAAUUUAAAUCCAAUAAAUUUUGAGUUGAUAGAGUAGGUUCUACGUCUAUAUCUAUACUUGUUUUUGCACGUAUUUAUAAAGUUCAACCCCGAUAUACUCAGUCCAACCAAUGAAGAUCAUAGCUUUUUCAUUGCUUAUGUUCAUUUUAUUACCUAUUGCUGUCAUGGACAAGGUUAGUUUUUCUAUAGAAAGUGCUGAGCCACCGAAUCACGAGAAGAGAACGGGUCUAAGGCCUCCACCACCUCCUAGGUCUUACCCUCCUAUCCACUGGAAGCGGGGGAGGUUCGUCUCCCCAACGCCACCACAAUCAGGAUUAUAGUGAUCAGUGACGAAUAUAAGAUUUUGCGUGAGUAAUGUUAAUUUUUUGUCAUCAUAUGACUUGUAAUAAGGCCCAAUUGGAUGGUCUCACUCUCUUUCUUAUAACUUUGACAUGUGCUAUUUCACUUGUUUAGAUUUUUGUCAUUCUCAAGCUUCAAAUUAGUAAAAUCUUUGUAUUUAUAUACUGUUCAAUCAUUUUUCUAGUUACAUUGAAGUAUAAGUUCGAUUUUGCAAAUCCUGAUUCUUGACCCAUUACAAUGUUGCUGAUUAAACAAGUUGUGGAGACAGAUCAUACAUGAAUAAAUAAAGAUAUAUGAACAUAUAGUGUAUGGGCUAGAAUCUGACUAUAUAUCAUAUACGAAAUUAGCUCUAUCCUUAAUAAUCUACAAUUAAUAAGUGGUACGAUCAUUCUGAACGAGUGACAAUUGACUACCCUAUGGUCCAAUUGAAAGGUUACAACCCCCCUCCCCCCGCUUCAGAGGCGCAACGUCGACAUGGCCACAUCCACUUAUCGCCAGUCUGGCCACGGUCACUUACUGCCAGCUCACAAAGCUCGCAUCUAUAAAUAUCAUGAGUGAGAACCUUAAGAAGGGGGCUUCUUCUUCGACACUAUGAAUAAGAGAGAGACACAUUACAAUACUAAUAUCAUGAGGGAAU